GGGAAUUUAGUUAAAUAUAACAUUUAGUCUGCAUCUAAAAAGUAUUGAAAUUCAAUAUUUCUCA
rnacentral:tRNA from 1 species